CCUACGGGAGGCAGCAGUGAGGAAUAUUGGUCAAUGGCCGUAAGGCUGAACCAGCCAAGUAGCGUGAGGGAAGACUGCCCUAUGGGUUGUAAACCUCUUUUAUGCGGGGAUAAAGGUGUCCACGUGUGGAUGUUUGCAGGUACCGCAUGAAUAAGGACCGGCUAAUUCCGUGCCAGCAGCCGCGGUAAUACGGAAGGUCCGGGCGUUAUCCGGAUUUAUUGGGUUUAAAGGGAGCGUAGGCCGGUCUUUAAGCGUGCCGUGAAAUUUUGUGGCUCAACCAUGAGAGUGCGGCGCGAACUGGAGCCGUUGAGUGCGCGGGAGGCAGGCGGAAUUCGUGGUGUAGCGGUGAAAUGCUUAGAUAUCACGAAGAACCCCGAUUGCGAAGGCAGCAUGCCGCCGCGUAACUGACGCUGAAGCUCGAAAGCGCGGGUAUCGAACAGGAUUAGAGACCCGUGUAGUC
rnacentral:rRNA from 1 species